rnacentral:rRNA from 1 species
CCACUUUCUACGGAAGGCAGCAGGCGCGCAAAUUACUCAAUCCCAAUACGGGGAAGUAGUGACAAAAAAUACUAAUGCCUUUCCAUUUAUAUGGGGGGCAAUUGGAAUAAGUACAACUUAAAUCGCUUAGCAAAAGUGAUUGGAGGGCAAGUCUGGUGCCAGCAGCCGCGGUAAUUCCAGCUCCAAUAGCGUAUACUAAAUUUGUUGCAGUUAAAAAGCUCGUAGUUGAGAUUGAGAUUUCUUAGGUUUAGAGUCGCUUGGCCUUCGGGUUUGAGUUUGAUUCGUAAAGCUCUAUAGUAGAAUUCCAUUUUAUUAUUAGGGUUACUAAGAAAUUUCUAUCUGCCCAUGGUAGCUAGCAAUAGUUAUCAAUCGGGUGAUCUACUGUGAGAAAAUUGUAGUGUUCAAAGCAGGCGUCUUACGUUUGUUCAAUGCAGCAUGGUAUAGUAAAAUAUGACACUAAAUAUAUGUUGGUUGUAUAUUCUUAGUGUAAUGACUAAUAGGGAAGGGCGGGGCCGUUCA